rnacentral:lncRNA from 10 species
UGCAAGGGAAAGAAUUCAGAGUAAAUAAACAGUCUUUUUCUGGGAAGUAAAAUAUUUCCCUAAGAUGGAGAAAUUGAGAUGAGAGCUCAUCCACAAGAUUACCCAUCAAUGAGCACCAAUAGCAACCAAAUCCACUAGAAGACUGGGAGCUUUUAAGUCAAGAAACUUACAUCAGUAUCAUCAUUCCAAGAAGCGGUAUCCAAGCUGUUUUAUCGAAAGUGCGCAUGGGAGAUGGUGCUGUGAGUGGGGAGUGAGUCAAAAACUCCGCUGGGGUGUACAAAAGUCUACUCAAAUGUCCACAGCAUCUGUGGGGGAUGGAGAAUAGUUGGAGGAUCUUUCUCCAGAAUCCUUCUGUUCUGUAGUACAAGUAUUACUCAUUAUAGACUAGCACGAAAAAUCAAGUGAAAUGCGAACUUAAGAGUUUAAAAAGAAUAAAUGGUGCUUUUCUGGCCUAUUAGUAAUAAAUUAAAUAAAAAUAAUUUUAAUUUGUAAGUAAUGAAUGCUAAUCUACAUUGUAUUAAUUGGGCUUAACCAGAGAGUUUUUGUUUACAUACAUUAGGCAAACAAACAAUAGGAAUGAGGAUUUUUAAUAAAGAAGGAAGCCAGAAACACACACACACAAGCACACACACACACACACACACACACACACACACACACACCAAGUAAGAGAAUACUAAAAGAUCAGAGAAAAUGUAAUUAUACUUAUCAAAAUGUUUUAAUGCAGUGGCCUAUUAGUUUCAGAAUAUAAAAUUUAUUUGAUUUGUUGAGCAACUUGGAGCUUAUUUUUUAAUCCUUUCAGAUAAUAGGAACUUGAAACAUACUUGGCUGUGUAUAAGAUAUAUGUGAUAUUAGAAAAUCAUAUAUAUCUGUUAAUAUAUAUUCAAAUAUAUUACUAAGCAAAAAUAUAUUUACAUGUUUAUAUCAAUGAUGCAAUUAAUAAAUGUUUUCACAUCCUGUGUCUCAAUUUAUCCUUACAUAAAACAAGUGAGUUACUUAUUCUUUAACUUCUCUAGGCAAAUUUCAAAUAUUUUCUGAAUAUAACUACAGAAUGCUUGGUUUGUGUCUCUAUGAAAGGUCUUAACACACUCCUGCAAUGAAUUAUAUGCAUAUGGCUCUCCCAUACUGGGAAUGCCUAGAGGAGAGAAACUGUCUUCUUACCAUAUUUGUAUCUAUGGUUCAUGCCUGCUCCACAUAGACCCCUAGGUUUCACUAGAGAGAUCUCAAGACAGUAGGUUUGAAGUAAGAGAAUGGGAGGAUUUAGAGGCAUCUCGACUAUACUGAUAUACUCUGCAAUCAGCUUGGCAUCUGGGAAAUGUUUUGCUGUCUGCUUCAUCUCCAGUGCCUUGAACAGUACAUGUUUCUCUGGAGCCCCUGCAAGGUUUGUUGAAGGAGGGCAUACAUCAGGUAUUCCAUAAUUUAGCAACAUUCCAUAAUGUGGCUGCUAGUAAAUGGUUGGUUCAGGAUUUGAACCCAGGUCCUCUGUGUCAUGUUCUAAAUGUUGGGAGAAUAAAUCCCUCCCUUGUCUCAGUGAAGAUUUCUAAGCUGCCCUGGGUUGUUGUGUAUAGGUGUUUAGCUUAUGGGAUGGGACUGGAAGGUGGUGUAGGGACACAAAAGGAAUUAAACCAUGUAAGUUCACCUUGGUUGGCAUUUUCAUUUCUCCUUUGGAUAUCAAGCCUGAACAAUGAUUCUCAAAGAUAUGUAUUAAAUUCAAUAAGGAUUUACUACUACUGCUCACCUAUUAAGUGCGAGGAACAGUUGCACUUAGUAGGAAUAAAGAGGUAGCUGGCACAAACUAUUCUGCCUGUUUUUUGUUUUUGUUUUUCGUUUGUUUGCUUGUUUGUUUUUUCGACAGAGUCUUGCUCUGUCGCCAGGCUGGAGUGCAGUGGCGCGAUUUUGGUUCAUUGCAACCUCCACUUCCUGGGUUCAAGAGAUUCUCCUGCCUCAGCCUUCCAAGCAGUUGGGACUACAGGCGUGCACCACCAUGCCCAGCUAGUUUUUGUAUUUUUAGUAGAGACAGGGUUUCACCAUGUUGGCCAGGAUGGUCUCAAUCUCUUGACCUCAGGUGAUCCGCCUGCCUCGGCCUCCAAAAGUGCUGGUAUUACAGGCGUGAGCCACCACGCCCGGCCUAUUCUGCCUGUUUGUUGACUGCAGUCAUAGUAUGUUCUUGCUCCUCCCUGAGCUACUUUUGCUUUGAAUAAAACCAUGGUGUCAUGGAAAGAACAAAAAGCUCCAGGGUAGGGCACAUGUUUUCAAACUUAUUACAAGAGGGAGCCUGGAUGAGAGUAUCUUAAUAUACCUUUUAGAGCUGAUGUGUCCUUCUCUCCUUGAGAUCCAAUUAAAUUUACUUUCUGUGAGUUACAUGAUAGAAAGUGUUACAUUGUACAUUUUAGCAAUUUCAGCUUAUUCAGAUCAAACAAAAAAAAUUAGUUGAUUUGACUAUCUACAGUUUAUCUCUGCCACCAAAGUAAAUAGCAUGGACUUGAAGGUGCCAUCCCAACUAUUGCCCUGACAUUCCAUCACCUGCAUUUUCCAGAAAUCAGGUGAACGAUAUUUUUCAGUCUUGCUGCAUUUCACCUCUGGAGUGUGUAGACCCAGUCUUAAUGUGCCUAAACCAAAUGAGAUGUGUUAUCCCUUCCAAUGGAACUAAGCACUUUAAGUAACUAAGGAAUUGGAGAGAGAGAGAGAGAGAGAGAGAGAGAGAGAGUUUUCUAAAUUCAGCAAGAAAAAAUAAGGUAGUCGAGUUGUGUUUCAAACCACUUCUAUAAUUGGGAGCUAAACAAAUUUGUGGAGAAAGUACUUGGUCAACUGUAUAAUUUCUUCUACUAUUAACUAUCCAAAACAAACAAUUAAUUAAAAACUAAACACAGAUAAUGAAGACUAUCUAUUUUCUAAAACUGUGAACUUUGGAAAGGGGCGUGCUUUAUGGAUAUCUGUAAGUCCAUAUUUGGACAACUAUCAGUUUAACUUUUAGUAAUCUAAAAUGCUCAACUUAAACUUCAUUUCCCACUUCUGCCAAAACCAGAAGAAUCAAAAAUACAGUGAAGGGGCAUGAGAUUUCCAGCUCACAUUUCCAAUCUCCAGAGGUUUGAAAAACUUCAUCUAUCUAUUUGAAUGCCAUGGUUGUGAUCCAAACUGAAUUUGAACUUUAGAUACUUAAGAGUGACCCAUCACUGUUUAAAAGUCCAAAGUGGCCACAGAGAACCCUACGGACCAUUACUUCAUUGUUUAUUCUUGUAAAUUAUAAAUAUUUUUAAAAAUUCCAAAUUAUGAAGUUCGAAGGGGAUAUUUUAUAUCUCUCAGCCACUGUCAUUUUCUUCCUCCCUUCCUUGGGUGUUGGCCAUGUAUCUAUGAGUCCAGUUGGUAAAACAAUCAGUAGCAUUGACAGGAUGAUGUACUCUGGUCCGAAACUACAUUUCUCAGCUUUUUCAGUUCUCAGGAGACAGCGGAAAAUGUACUUAGCAAACUCUAUUAUAAAGGUCCAUGUUGUUCCAAAUAUUUAGUUGUACUUAAAGUAAAAUCAUGACUUCAGAUGCCAAGUGAAAUAAAGCAUAAUUUUCACACUGUA